AUUGAACGCUGGCGGCAUGCCUUACACAUGCAAGUCGAACGGCAGCGCGGACUUCGGUCUGGCGGCGAGUGGCGAACGGGUGAGUAAUACAUCGGAACGUACCCUGUUGUGGGGGAUAACUAGUCGAAAGAUUAGCUAAUACCGCAUACGACCUGAGGGUGAAAGUGGGGGACCGCAAGGCCUCACGCAGCAGGAGCGGCCGAUGUCUGAUUAGCUAGUUGGUGGGGUAAAGGCCCACCAAGGCGACGAUCAGUAGCUGGUCUGAGAGGACGGUCAGCCGCGCUGGGACUGAGACACGGCCCAGACUCCUACGGGAGGCAGCAGUGGGGAAUUUUGGACAAUAGGGGCAACCCUGAUCCAGCAAUGCCGCGUGUGUGAAGAAGGCCUUCGGGUUGUAAAGCACUGUUGUCCGGAAAGAAAUCGCGCUGGUUAAUACCUGGCGUGGAUGACGGUACCGGAAGAAUAAGCACCGGCUAACUACGUGCCAGCCGCCGCAGUAA
rnacentral:rRNA from 1 species